rnacentral:rRNA from 3 species
UACGUAGGGCGCGAGCGUUGUCCGGAAUUAUUGGGCGUAAAGAGCUUGUAGGCGGUUUGUCGCGUCUGCUGUGAAAGGCCGGGGCUUAACCCCGUGUAUUGCAGUGGGUACGGGCAGACUAGAGUGCAGUAGGGGAGACUGGAAUUCCUGGUGUAGCGGUGGAAUGCGCAGAUAUCAGGAGGAACACCGAUGGCGAAGGCAGGUCUCUGGGCUGUAACUGACGCUGAGAAGCGAAAGCAUGGGGAGCGAACAGG